GGUCCGUUGGCCCAAUGGUAAGGCGUCUGACUACGACUGUUAGCAGCUAAUCAGGAGAUUCUGGGUUCGACCCCCAGGCGGACCU
rnacentral:tRNA from 1 species